GUGGGGAAUCUUGCGCAAUGGGCGAAAGCCUGACGCAGCCAAGCCGCGUGAAUGAUGAAGGUCUUAGGAUUGUAAAAUUCUUUCACCGGGGACGAUAAUGACGGUACCCGGAGAAGAAGCUCCGGCUAACUUCGUGCCAGCAGCCGCGGUAAUACGAAGGGGGCUAGCGUUGCUCGGAAUUACUGGGCGUAAAGGGCGCGUAGGCGGACAGCUUAGUCAGAGGUGAAAGCCCAGGGCUCAACCUUGGAAUUGCCUUUGAUACUGGCUGUCUUGAGUACGGGAGAGGUGAGUGGAACUCCGAGUGUAGAGGUGAAAUUCGUAGAUAUUCGGAAGAACACCAGUGGCGAAGGCGACUCACUGGCCCGUUACUGACGCUGAGGCGCGAAAGCGUGGGGAGCAAACAGGAUUAGAUACCCGUGUAGUCC
rnacentral:rRNA from 1 species